UACGUAGGGUGCGAGCGUUAAUCGGAAUUACUGGGCGUAAAGCGUGCGCAGGCGGUUCGUUGUGUCGGCGGUGAAAGCCCCGGGCUCAACCUGGGAAUUGCAUUCGAGACUGCAUCGCUUGGGUGCGGAAGAGGGAAGCGGAAUUUCCGGUGUAGCGGUGAAAUGCGUAGAUAUCGGAAGGAACACCAGUGGCGAAGGCGAGUCUCUGGACAUUUCCUGACGCUGAGGCACGAAAGCCAGGGGAGCAAACGGG
rnacentral:rRNA from 1 species